UAUUUGUUGGAAUACAUGUUUCUUGUUAUAUUUGCGUAAUUACUUAUUAAAUGAAAUGUUAUGAACAGGCCAUGCGAUAAAUAAGCUUUUAAUGGUCUUGCUUGCUAUUUGUUAGAAGGAGCAUUUUUGCUACUGCCUAGGUUGUAAUACAGAUGAUGACUAUCAUCUUUUUAUUUAUACAACUUGCUUUAUCAAUAGAAAAAUAAUAUUAAAUCUAUACUUAUUCAGGGCUGAGGCAACUAAAGAUGAUAGAUUUGGAGCUUUAAGUAGGUCACAGUAUGGUCUUGUUGACCUUGCAGCUGCUUUAUUCUAUCGGGCUUGUGUUAACAGAGAUAAGCCAUCAUCAUCUGAGAAGCGGGUGAAGAGAGAGCAUGCUGAUGCACGUUUAAGAGAAGAGCUCAAAAAAAGGAAAGUGGCUAUGGUAAAUCAUAAACUGAUUGAUUUGGCAAUAUCAAGUUUCCUUUUUUGUAAUUGUUAUUACUUUUUAUAAAGAAAAUGCAACAAUUCUCCCCUUCCUUAAUUUAGGAGUCUAAUAGUUUAUGAGUUGUGUGAUGUGAACAUUGUAAAAUAUAUUAAGGGAAACUAAAUAUAUAAAUAACCACCCUGGUUAUCGGUUUUA